rnacentral:lncRNA from 10 species
GUCAAAUCAGAAAAAGAACCUGACCGUGAGGACUAGAGUAAGAGGCUGUGAAGACUGCCGCCUCCUCGCACGACCCACACCGUCGAGUGUCCGGAGAUGGACGGGAAAAGCUACCACAGUGGCAUGGCCUUAUUUCCUGAUGCCAGACACUGGGGAUACAGAGGAUACUGUUACAAAGUGAUAAUUGGAGAAACAAAAUGGACAUUAGCUUAUUUAGGAGAGGUAAAAUUUUAAU